rnacentral:rRNA from 1 species
AGCCGCAGUAUUUUGACUGUGCAAAGGUAGCAUAAUCAUUUGUUCUUUAAUUGUGAUCUGGUAUGAAUGGUUUGACGAGACGUUGACUGUCUUAAUUUUAUGAGUGUUAGUUAGAAUUUGGUUUUUGGGUUAGAAUUCUUAGAUGUUUUUAUGGGACGAGAAGACCCUAUAGAGUUUUACAUUUGUGAUCUUUUUGUUUGUUUGAUUGUUGAUUGAAUUGGGUUGUAUUUUGUUUUGUUGGGGUGAUGGGAAGAAUUAAUAUAACUCUUCUUUGGCUUAGGUUGUUAUAUUGAUUUAUAUUUUUUUGAUCCAUUUAUUUUGAUUAUUAGAUUAAAUUACCUUAGGGAUAACAGCGUUAUCUUCCUUGAGAGUUCUUAUUGACAGGGGGGUUUGCGACCUCGAUGUUGGAUUAAA